rnacentral:rRNA from 1 species
AGCGCAGGCGGUGCGGCAAGUCUGAUGUGAAAGCCCGGGGCUCAACCCCGGUACUGCAUUGGAAACUGUCGUACUAGAGUGUCGGAGGGGUAAGCGGAAUUCCUAGUGUAGCGGUGAAAUGCGUAGAUAUUAGGAGGAACACCAGUGGCGAAGACGGCUUACUGGACGAUAACUGACGCUGAGGCUCGAAAGCGUGGGGAGCGAACA